rnacentral:lncRNA from 1 species
GUCUUUUUAUUGGUAGUCUGUUUGGUCCUGCCCAUUUAGUGUUUAUUAGUUUGUCCUUUUUUUUUUUUUUUUUUUUACAAAAAUCGUUAUUCGGCCUGCUCAUUCUGCCUUUCUAUGUCAUGUAUAUCUUUCGCAAGUUUUAUAUAUUCGACUACGAAUAGUGUGAUUUUUUUUUAAUUCAGUAAUUCAGUUUUAUACUUAAUUUUGAGAAAAAAUCCCGAAAUUCUAAGUAAAUUCAGAACAUGUAACCAACCAUACUUUAUUUGGAGAAAAAUAGAGAUGGCAAACCAUGG